rnacentral:rRNA from 1 species
GUGAGGAAUUUUCCGCAAUGGGCGAAAGCCUGACGGAGCAAUGCCGCGUGAAGGAUGAAGGCCUAUGGGUUGUAAACUUCUUUUCUCAGAAAAGAAUUAUGACGGUAUCUGAGGAAUAAGCAUCGGCUAACUCUGUGCCAGCAGCCGCGGUAAGACAGAGGAUGCAAGCGUUAUCCGGAAUGAUUGGGCGUAAAGCGUCUGUAGGUUGUUUAAAAAGUAUUCUGUCAAAGAUUAGGGCUUAACCCUAGAUAGGCAGAAUAAACUUUUAAGCUAGAGUUUGGUAGAGGCAGAGGGAAUUCCCGGUGGAGCGGUGAAAUGCGUAGAUAUCGCGAGGAACACCAAAGGCGAAGGCACUCUGCUGGGCCAAUACUAACACUGAGAGACGAAAGCGAGGGGAGCAAAUGGGAUUAGAAACCCGAGUAGUCC